UGGGGAAUAUUGGACAAUGGGCGAAAGCCUGAUCCAGCCAUGCCGCGUGUGUGAAGAAGGUCUUCGGAUUGUAAAGCACUUUAAGUUGGGAGGAAGGGCAGUAAGCGAAUACCUUGCUGUUUUGACGUUACCGACAGAAUAAGCACCGGCUAACUCUGUGCCAGCAGCCGCGGUAAUACAGAGGGUGCAAGCGUUAAUCGGAAUUACUGGGCGUAAAGCGCGCGUAGGUGGUUCGUUAAGUUGAAUGUGAAAGCCCCGGGCUCAACCUGGGAACUGCAUCCAAAACUGGCGAGCUAGAGUAGGGCAGAGGGUGGUGGAAUUUCCUGGGUAGCGGUGAAAUGCGUAGAUAUAGGAAGGAACACCAGUGGCGAAGGCGACCACCUGGGCUCAUACUGACACUGAGGUGCGAAAGCGUGGGGAGCAAACAGG
rnacentral:rRNA from 1 species